GGAGCUAUAGCUCAGUUGGUAGAGCGGCAAGCUUAUACCUUGCUGGUCCUAGGUUCGAGUCCUAGUAGCUCCA
rnacentral:tRNA from 1 species